CGUUAUCAACUCCUCAAGCUGGAUUGUGUAAUUGGCGACAAAAUCGUCGUAUCCUAUAGGAGUGUUAUGGAAAACAGCCAGUUCCAGCUCUUUGGCAUUUGUGAUGUAUGGGCAAAAUUCUUCAUUGAAGCGUGGGCCAGCAGGUUCAGGAAAUCUCUCGGAAAGCCAUGAGUAUUAGUAUCCAGGCCUUGACCGGAUGCCCCGAAGCUCAGGGUUCAAGCUUCAUCCCGUUUUCCCCUCUCCCAGAGCUGAAGAUCGACGGGAAGAGAAAGAAAACAAUAUAUGAUGCAAGACAGAGUCAGUAAAUAUAAAACAUAAAUCUCCCAGCAUUUCUUUUGCAUUGUUAUAUUGUUUAAAAUUCACAAUGUUUUCUAUUAUCGAGACCAUACACAUAUUUUCAUAUUUACAUGGCAAAUCCCACUCUAAGUAUCAUCCAUGAGCCUAAAGCUUUCACAACACAGCACAGCGUCCCUCAGGGAUAUUUUACUCCAGGUCUCAGCAAAGGCCAGCUGUCACUGUAAACUGAGCCGGGUGGACCCUCGCGAACAGCUCAGCCUCUGCCCAGCUGCCGCCUUGGGAUCUUAUCAGCCACGGGACCAUGCAGCUCAGACAAUCUGGACCUGCAUAUCUCCUAGCACAGACCGAUGUGAGGGAAUUACUGCCAGAGGACACUGAGCACAUACGAUCGAGAUGCUGCCAUGAAGAGAUUCAAGGCUAUUUCCAGCUCAUUGCAGGCGGCUGUCCUUCCUGGUUUGAUCCCCAAGGCAACCGAUGUGGUCAUUCCUUCCAGAAAAUGGAGAGCAAUGUAACCAAACACCAACAGAGGCC